GUAGGGGGCAAUUCGUUGGUUAUUAUCCAGAGAAGCUCUCAGGAGCAAUAAUGCUCUUGGUCGCAACUCUGAAAACCAGGGCAGCAGGCUGAGGAGCAGCCUCCACCGGUCAUGGCAAUGUUCCCAGAUCCAUGGAGCUCCAGGAGGUAGCAGGGCAAUGGGUUUCCUACCGUGUGACCCCGGGGUGAGGAGCCAGUUGGUGAGGUCCCGCACAGUGAGUUGAACAAGUGCAGUCUCCAGUAUGAUGGAAGUUCUUGGUGAAAGACAGCGGCCGCACUUUAUCAACAAGGGCGUGGCUGCCAGAUGGUGGCUCAGUCCCCGGGUUCCAUGAUGCUCCAGAACACAGAAACCUUGGCUCUGUGGUCCUGGGUGGUGGGGAAUGGAGUGGAGGUCCUGGAAAAGGAGUUGACAGAGCGAACUGAAUCUCUUAUGCACAGAAAGGAAGAAGAGCAUUGCAGAACAGUUAGGAGAAGACCAACAUAUCCAGGCUGUUAAUUUUUGACGGGAAUACCACAAAUAUGAUGCCGUGUUCUUCUUAGUACGUCAUAUCAGGAGGCACAUGCUGACACUUCAUCCUAUAUCCAGUGAUGUUGACUUUUACAACUUAGAUUUGGCCAAUGGGAUUCCUCUUCAAACUGGUCAUCUCUAUUCCCUGACUCCCUCCAUACAUACCAGCCAGAGAGAAGACUGGGAAAUAACAGCCCCUAGUAGUUUCACAGUGGAGAACACUCUUUCCCUCACUCCUAUGUUGACAUAUAAAGUUCAUAAUGAUGGAGGUGAUUGCCUGCUGUGUUUCCUGGUCCUACCUCACCCAGGGUACUGAGUUCAUCUGGACGUCACAGUAUGAGUCUUUCUAGAAGACACAACUUGCUUUCCCUUUGGGACACCAACUCUUUUCCCACCUAAGGCCUUGUGCUUGCAGUGAAAUUGUCUUUAUUCUUUACUCCUGACCAGACAGCACGUUGCACUCCUUUGGUGACAGUGCUUGGCUCAGGGGAAAGCGUGUGACACCUUCAGAGCUGUUAACGUGCGAUGAGACUUUUUCUGAGAUUUCUGAAACAUUGCCACUCUUCUCUACUAGACUGGAGAUUGUUAGAAGGGAAGGCUGGAUUCCUCAACCAUCUUGCUAUCCUGAGGAAAAAGCCUGCCUGAGUUUCUUUCUUAAAGAAAUGGAGCUGGGAGAUGAGAGGCAGUGAAUUCAGAUUCUGGGAAUCUUCCGGGAGCUCCUAUUUCAAACCACGCCCUUAAUGAAACUUACUCUGGAGGUUUAAUUAUGUGAGCCAAAAAAAAAUCUCCUUUUUGCUCAAGCUAACUUAAACUGGGUUUUCUGUCACAUGUAACCACAAUUGUUUUUACUGAUUCAAUUUAAGAGAGACAUUGGUAAAUUAAAUAAGCCCAGAGAAGAAUUGCCACAGGGGUGAAUGUGACCGGAACUGUGUCAAAGGGGUAGAAACUGGAGAAAGUAUGGCUUGAAGAAAGAAGAGCUGGUGUGUAUGUGUUCCAGGAGAAGAAGAAUGUUAAAGGUAUGGAAGAGGAUACCAAAGAAAGAGAAAUACUUCAAAUAUUUCAUUAGAAUUCAUGAUAGGAAGCUCCUGGGAAACAAAUUUCAAUUUUAAAACUGUAACAAUUUAAGGUGUCUGAAAAUGGGCUGAAUUGGCCUGUAAUGUUUGCUGUGUCUAGAAGGGUUUUUAAUAACUGAUCGGAGAUAUUGUAGAGCGAAUUCAAGCUGCCCAGUGGAUGGUGUCUUCUGGACUUCACUCAUUGAACGUCAUCUUCACAAUUUUUGCCAUGCGGGAAAGGGGAAACUUGUACCAUCUUUUGCUCAAUAUUUUCUUUGCAUCAAUUUCCUUUUUUGUCCAAAUAAGUUUAUUUUUAAAUGAAACUAAAUCGCUACUAUAAAUGGGAAAUAAGAAUCAGUGGCCAAAAAUAAAUAUAAUAAAACAAAACAAUGUUAUUAAAUUCUAA
ensembl:lncRNA